GCUGAUUUAGUUUAACGGUUAAAAUUUUCUUUUCAUGCGAGAAUAAUAAAGGUUCGAUCCCUUUAAUCAGCU